AGCAACGCCGCGUGAGUGAUGAAGGUUUUCGGAUCGUAAAGCUCUGUUGUUAGGGAAGAACAAGUGCGAGAGUAACUGCUCGCACCUUGACGGUACCUAACCAGAAAGCCACGGCUAACUACGUGCCAGCAGCCGCGGUAAUACGUAGGUGGCAAGCGUUGUCCGGAAUUAUUGGGCGUAAAGGGCUCGCAGGCGGUUUCUUAAGUCUGAUGUGAAAGCCCCCGGCUCAACCGGGGAGGGUCAUUGGAAACUGGGAAACUUGAGUGCAGAAGAGGAGAGUGGAAUUCCACGUGUAGCGGUGAAAUGCGUAGAGAUGUGGAGGAACACCAGUGGCGAAGGCGACUCUCUGGUCUGUAACUGACGCUGAGGAGCGAAAGCGUGGGGAGCGAACAGGAUUAGAUACCCUGGUAGUCCACGCCGUAAACGAUGAGUGCUAAGUGUUAGGGGGUUUCCGCCCCUUAGUGCUGCAGCUAACGCAUUAAGCA
rnacentral:rRNA from 1 species